UAGGGAAUCUUNNNCAAUGGGGGCAACCCUGACCGAGCAACGCCGCGUGAGUGAAGAAGGUUUUCGGAUCGUAAAGCUCUGUUGUAAGUCAAGAACGAGUGUGAGAGUGGAAAGUUCACACUGUGACGGUAGCUUACCAGAAAGGGACGGCUAACUACGUGCCAGCAGCCGCGGUAAUACGUAGGUCCCGAGCGUUGUCCGGAUUUAUUGGGCGUAAAGCGAGCGCAGGCGGUUUGAUAAGUCUGAAGUUAAAGGCUGUGGCUCAACCAUAGUUCGCUUUGGAAACUGUCAAACUUGAGUGCAGAAGGGGAGAGUGGAAUUCCAUGUGUAGCGGUGAAAUGCGUAGAUAUAUGGAGGAACACCGGUGGCGAAAGCGGCUCUCUGGUCUGUAACUGACGCUGAGGCUCGAAAGCGUGGGGAGCGAACAGGAUUAGAUACCCUGGUAGUCCACGCCGUAAACGAUGAGUGCUAGGUGUUGGAUCCUUUCCGGGAUUCAGUGCCGCAGCUAACGCAUUAAGCACUCCGCCUGGGGAGUACGACCGCAAGGUUG
rnacentral:rRNA from 1 species